rnacentral:misc_RNA from 1 species
GCAAACUUGGUCAUUUAGAGGAAGUAAAAGUCGUAACAAGGUUUCCGUAGGUGAACCUGCGGAAGGAUCAUUAAUGAGUUGUAACGGGGUUUGAUGCUGGCAUCCAAUUUUUGGAUGUAUGUGCUCGCCCCAACAAUAUCUUCCAAACACCUGUGCACACAAUUUUUGAGGGAGGUUUCGAGUUGAUUGCCUCUUAUUGGUAAUUUCCUUGCACUCUCUUGAAUCUCAUUACACGCCGUUAAUAAUGCUGAACGUGCUUUGUGCCGCAAGGCCUUAACAUAUAAUACAACUUUUAACAACGGAUCUCUUGGCUCUCGCAUCGAUGAAGAACGCAGC